CUUUGCAAUUAAAAACAGGUUUGGCUUCCCUCUGCAUCAAUAAGGCAACGUCAAAGCAACAUUCAUCCCGAAAAUGUUCCCUUGUGAAUUCAAAUUAACUGAUGCAUUCAACUGUUAGAUCCCAUGAUGUUGGGAGAAAUCACUACUUUGCAGCUAAAAUCCUUCCCCUCACCGUGCAAUGAAGAGCUUAGAAGGAUCCUAUGAAAGUCAAUCCCAGCUGCAGUGAAAUCACCCAAUUUCUACAAGCCACAAGAUUACUCAAUGAAUUGAAGACCUACUGGUUCAGCUAAUUUCUUGAUUUGGUUGUAAAACUAAGCACUCCAAGACUGAAAAGCAAGAUCACUGGACACAGAAUUCUGUCUCCUUUUACCCCAGGAAAUCGAUCUUAGGCAAAAAUGUGAAGUAAGCAUAGCUUACGUCAGCACACAGCAGCCUCUAAGCUUCCAAUACAAUUGUUCUCUUUUCUCCUCUCCAUAUAGCUGCUUCCUCAGGUUUGCUUUCAUACCUCCAGACUCCUCUCAGUUAACAAGAAUAGGAGAAUGCUGGAGUAUGCAUGCUCUUUUCCAGUACAAUGUGAUGUUUUAUUUUUUUAAUUAUUUAUAAGAAUGCUUGAUGCAAAACAACAAAUGUCUAAUAGCAUCUCACACAUUUAUAACAGGACAGUGGGGAUAAGAUUUGCUCUUAGGAUCCUUCCAAGGUUCUCUCCCCUCAAACCAAUAAGCAGCCCACCUCCUCACUAACCUUACUGAAACACCAUUCGGCUAUAGGUUCACAAUCCAUUACCCAAUUUGGGGGCAUAAUAAGAGAGCUUAGUGCUUGCUGUAAACAAGGCUUUCUGAAAUCUUCCAAGGAAUUAACAGAGUAGAAAGGCAAUUCACCAUUCCCUGCUGGAAGAUACAGGGGAUCUGUGAGAAAGUCUUCUCUCUCUCUUUCUCUCUCUCUCUCUCUCUUUCUCUCUCUCUCUCUCUCUUUCUCUCUCUCACAUACACACACUUUAAGAAAGAAUAAUGGGAAUAGAGAAUGCUGGUGUAUAAAGGCAGCAAAUGUGAAUCUUUUUUUUGUUCAGAAACAUCCUUCUCUCUUACUUCAUAAUCAAGAAUAGUACCUAAAGUAUGGCUGGCACACAGUAGUCGCUCAAAAUAUUUGUUAAAUGACUGGAAAAGUGAUUAUCAAGUAUUUGGAUGCAGUCUGAAGACACUUUUUUUAAAUUGAAGUAUAGCUGAUUUACAGUGCUGUGUUAAAAAUGUCUGUUGUACAGCAGAGUGAUUCAGCUAUACCUAUAUAUACAUUAUUUUUUAAAUAUUCUUUUCCAUUAUGGUUUGUCUUAGGAUAUUGAAUAUAGUUCCCUGUGCUAUACAAUAGGACCUUGCUGUUUAUCCAUUCUAUAUGUAAUAGUUUGCAUCUGCUAACCCCAAAAUCCCAC